rnacentral:rRNA from 1 species
CCCUUAGAUGUCCUGGGCCGCACGCGCGCUACACUGAUGCAUGCAACGAGUUUAUAACCUUGGCCUGAAAGGUCUGGGUAAUCUUUUGAACGUGCAUCGUGAUAGGGAUAGAUUAUUGCAAUUGUUAAUCUUGAACGAGGAAUUCCUAGUAAACGCGAGUCAUCAGCUCGCAUUGAUUACGUCCCUGCCCUUUGUACCCACCGCCCGUCGCACCUACCGAUUGAAUGGUUCGGUGAAGAUCUCGGACUUCGAUAUUUAUUCUUUAUUGAGUUUAUAUUGUGGGAAGUUAUCUAAACCUCAUCAUUUAGAGGAAGGUGAAGUCGUAACA